rnacentral:lncRNA from 1 species
GUUCUCUUUGUUUAGAUCCAAAAGCUUGAAAAUUGGUAAAGAAAAAGAUACAUGCAAUCUUUUGCUAUGAUGUGAGUUGUGUUUGAUUAGGGGCUCUUCGAUAGGUCAUAGACUUAUGGAGCUGCUUUUAUAGUCAUUUGUGUGUAUAUGCCUAACUGGUUUUCGUAAUUUUGGAUUUUUGGAGGAGUAUGGGCUGAUUUAUUAUUAGGUCUUUGAUUUAGUGUAUAAUUCAUACGCUUCAUUCAGUGUACAAGUCAUAUGCUUCAUUUGAUUCAGUGUAUAAUCACUUCUGCAGAAGGUAUUGAUUAGAACUUGGAUAUUCAUAUCUCCUUAAAGAGGUAUAGUGAGCAAAAAAAUAACCAGGAUAGGCAGGGCAUUUUUAUUCUAUUUAAUCAAGGGAACACCCAAUGAGGAGUUUCAAUCAGUAAGAGGAAGUCCAACUCGUGAAUGAAUUAUCCAAUCAUACUGACAAAAAUAGUGCGCUCUUCAUAAACUAAUUGGCCAAAAUUCCUUUUGUUAGAAAUAAGGUAGAUUUCUAUAGAAUAAUGAUAACCUGAGAGCCAAGAAUGAUCGCAUCUUUUUCCAGUAAGCGUCAGAUAACUCGUAAGGUUGAGAAUUUCUCUGCCUCAAUGUAACGUCUUUUUCUCUGCUGUGCACCCACUCCAUUAUGUGUUAAAACUGAAUAUAAUAUGCUUUCUAGGACUAACCUUAAUAAAAUUUGACUCCAAGACUCCCUCUUGCCACAGAUUCAGUUAAACAAAAUUGUUAAACUACUGAGAGUCUAUACUUUCUUACAAGUGAGGAAAACUUUCACAAGAAACUCAGAUGCUUAUUGAAAUGUAUCUUAAUGAAUCGUCCAACUUGCAAGAUCGAUUUGUAGUUAUAAUCGCGUCUAAUUUCGUUGAAUUAUGAUUUUUUUUCAAGGGAUUGAUAAUUACGACUCGUUUGUAGUGAAAUUAUAUCUGCAGUGUAUCGCUUUUUUUAGUAUAAUAAUGGAGAAUUUUUUUCAGGGGAGUGAAAGUUAAAAAAUUCAUAGUCGACACAAAAGCUCAUUAAUUCUGUUUGAUAGACUUGUGAAUUUCAUGUAACUUUUAAUACAUUUAUAUGUUGCAAAUUUGUAUAAUACAAGUUUUUCCUCCAAGUCAUUGGUGGUUUAUUUGUUAACUUGUUCAGCCAGGGAAGGAAUGGAACCAUCAAGUAUUGGGAUGUUGGAGAAGGGGGGUUGUCCAGGUACUUAUCUAUCUCUUGUCCAUCUCAGGUUGGGAUAUGAGUUGUGUUGUUUCAGUACAAUAUAUUGCCUGCUUAGAACCUGACUUUUGACAAUGACUAUUAGAAAUAGUUAAUGGCUUGCUUCCUAUGUACACUGAGCUCUAGGUGCCAUGUACUUAAUGGAAAAAGAUUUUGUUUAUUGAACGUAAAUGUGUUAUAUUUGCAUAACACUACAAAAUUAACAAAUUGAUUCUAUGAAAAUAAAUUGUAGAAGAGUAGAAUUAUAAUUUAAUUUCAUCAUCCACAGUUAAAAUAACUUGGAAAAUUGCAUCUAAUAAAAUAUACUAAACUAUAGUUUCAGGAAAAAAAGGUUACGCAUAAUCACUAUUAUGCCCUUGUUUGAGCCCCAUUCUUGUCAAAAAAUAUAUUUUUGAAUAGUGUAUUGAUGAGAAAUGUGUGAUUAAAAAAUGAAGAAAAAUCAUUUUUUAUGUAUAAAAUAUAUUUUAUCGAAAAAUGUGUGAUUGAAGUGAGAUCAAAUCAAUAUUUGAGAAUGUAUUUUGAUAGGAAAAAUGAGGUAUAUGGUAACUGUGUGACAUGGACUGAAGUUGAUGCUAGACUUUUGAAAUAAUUUGUACGCCUGAAGUUUUAAUUAAGACAGGUUUUACAUUUCUUCAACAUGUUUCAUGUUAUUGAAUUUCGAUUUAUGUUUUUGUUUCGGUUUGGUCACUCUGUAUUUAUGCACGAUUAAAAACUAUCAUCCCGACUCAAAAUGAGGUGGAAUUUGCUACUCAUUAUUGUAUAUUUUUCAUUGUUUGCGUAGUGAUGGAAAUGAAAAAUAAUUACAAAUGGAAUUGGUUUUAACAACUUCAAACAAUUCAUGAGAUAUGAACGAG